rnacentral:lncRNA from 1 species
GCACAUAUGUAAUUCUUUUUGAAUAGUGUAUUUCUUUGUUUGCUUCUGAGGGCUGGGCAUGGUGGGUUUGAUCUUCUUUUUAAAUGCAAAACGGUUAUUAUGUUUUGCCUGAAAGAAGUUAGGCAGAGGUAAAUAAUGCAGCUCAGCUUACAUUCUAGAUUCUGAGUGGAACAAGAAGUUGAUAUAGCUGGUGUCACAGACAUGACUUUGUCUUUGAAGACUAUUUGUUUCUCUUUGAAGAAUAAAUCCACAAGGAGAGAUGGACCAACCUAAGGGGUCAAAAGCAUCUUUGCCAACACCUGAGACAGGCUUUGAAUUUGCAGAGAAUGGUGACCAGUGCCUGAAGUUUCUAAUUUAUACUUCAGAAGCAAGGCAAUGA